rnacentral:lncRNA from 1 species
GUUAAAAAUGAGUGAGUAUCGGGCAUCUGCAGUUGUAACAAGCAUUCUAGAUGGAAGUGGUUUGUGGACCAAACUAAGAGAAACAGAGACGAGAUAACACAGAGAUAGCAAGGAGUCCAAAUACCUUAAGAUUUAUAGGCUGUGGGUUGCCUCUUUGUUGAGGUCAUUUCUUUCUCCCUUUCUUCCUUUCUCCCUCUUCCCCUCUGCGCUCACCAUUUCACAAAGUCUUUUAAACUAAAUAUAUAUAGCUGAACUCUUGUGAGCCAGACCUGGGGGCUAUUUUUCAGUUAUGUGUGUAAUUCUUUUGUGGAAAUA